rnacentral:rRNA from 1 species
GACAGAGGAGGCAAGCGUUGCUCGGAAUUACUGGGCGUAAAGGGCGCGUAGGCGGAAUGGCAAGUCGGUCGUGAAAUCCUUCGGCUCAACCGAAGAACGUCGAUCGAAACUGCCGUUCUUGAGGAUUGCAGAGGAGACUGGAAUUCCCGGUGUAGCGGUGAAAUGUGUAGAGAUCGGGAGGAACACCGGUGGCGAAGGCGGGUCUCUGGGCAAUUCCUGACGCUGAGGCGCGAAAGCGUGGGGAGCAAACGGG